UGACAUUUUUGAGGGACAUCAAGGAGGCUGGUGUGGCUGAGCAGAAGGAGGUAAAGUCAGAGAGGAAGCAAUGACAAUUCGUAACAAUCUCCUUCAGGAAACCACCAAGACAGGGAUCUAAGUAUGGCAUCUGCUGGAGAGACUUCCAAAGGAGAGAUGGUCAGAAGGCUCCUCUUGAGCUAUGUGACACCAUGUUGCAGAAACCUCAUCACCAGCUCCAAUGACCACAGGAUGUCCAGCUGGCUGGAGCUCAGAGUGCUGUGCGGAAUUUGAGUCCAAGGCAUGGCUCCAGGGUGCCCUCAUAUUGUGUAAGCCUUCAGAGGGCAGCACUGCGCAGCCUUGAUGAGGGCUGUGUCAGGUUGCUGCUUGAGCUGUCCCUGUUGCAGAAUGAGUGCUGACAUCAACCCUCCAGAACUGAGAACCUUUACUGAACAUCAGAAGCUGCAAGUGCCAAGAGCUGACCUGGACUGGACGAGCUUUUAUCUCCACUGCGCCUCCACAGACUCACUUGGCGUUUGGUUUGUUAACUUCCGGCCCUCUGUGUUAUCUUGUUUGCUGUGUGGCCUGUCUUGUGCUCUGCUUUGUGUACUGUGUAAGAAGCCAAGUUAA
rnacentral:lncRNA from 1 species